GGAAUGUGGUGUAUGUAUCCUUGUGUCAGUGUGUGUUGUCCACAAAACAGCAGCUUAAGAUGCUUCAGCAAAUUCUGCCUUUUUCUUUUGGAAUAUCAGACCUCACCUUGUCUUAUGAAAAACUGCUCUUGAAAAGUAACAUGUAGAACACAGUGGUGCAGUUUUAAGAAACACAAGACCAAAGUCCUCAUGGGCACUUGGGACCACACACACAUUUUUUCUAGAUUGUGCCCAGCUUUUCCAACAUAGGAUAACACCCCAAUCCCUAGGCCUGGGUGCCCCAUAUUUAGCAAUUCCUUCACGAAUGGGGUAGAGAUGCUGUGUGAAUACAGUGGUACCUCGCAAGACGAAUGCCUCGCAAGACGAAAAACGCGCAAGACGAAAGAGUUUUCCGUUUUUUGAGUCGUUCCGCAAGACAAAUUUCCCUAUGGGCUUGCUUCGCAAGACGAAACGUCUUGCGAGUUUGUUUCCUUUUUCUUAAAGCCGCUAAGCCAUUAAUAGCCGCUAAGCCGCUAAUAGCCGUGCUUCGCAAGACGAAAAAACCGCAAGACGAAGAGACUCGCGGAACGGAUUAAUUUCGUCUUGCGAGACACCACUGUACAGUACCUGCAGUACUCAAAAAUGUAUGGUGAGAGAUAGUACACCGAGAUUCUGGAGUUGGAGAAAAUGAAAGAGAUCAACCAGAAAAAGUAAUAACCUAAUAAAAUGAUACAAAAAAUAAUAAUUGUAUUAUUCACACAAAUCUCUAAUGCUUGUCAGCUAUCCCAUUACUUUUGCAGUCAUUUGCCAUAACACUGUACAAUACUCUCUGCACACUUUUCCUUACUCUCUUACAAUAAAUUAGCUAGUUGUUUUCCCUUUCUUAUUUUUCUUUAAAAUGAAAGCUGAAAAUACAAGAAUCUCAUGUGAGCCAUAUCCUUGCAGACGCUCCCUGUGCUUAAGGACCGGAGCACCUGUUAAGUCCAUAUGCACCAGGGUGCAGUGUACUGAAAGCAGCUCCGCUGCUCUGCAUUCUGUGAAUGAAAACCCACAUGAAGACCCACUCUGUGCAGAAAAAUGGGGAUCUUGCGGGGUUUUGGCCAAGUAGGAUCUACAGAUCACAUUCUACAUGUGAAGUCUGAUUGGCAGGAAAUUUCAGAGGGAAUGCACAAUAAAUGAGCCAAAGCUACAGUUGGGUUUCCAUUUCUUUUUGUUCAGUCUUGGCUUCCAGUGGCCUGAGCUUAAAAUGCCCGAGUGCAAAAGCUUUAAUGUGCUUGCCCACUCCAGCUCAUUGUUAGGUAAUUUUUCAGUGUUGACUAUACGUUUAGCCAGUAAGCUCUGGAGCAAGGCUCCAUGUGUCUAUGUGUCUGUCUCUCACUGGAUUAGCCUCACAAGAGGCAGAAAAACAAGGCCCCAGAAAGGGGAACAAAGGAUCCUCCACUCAGCCCAGAGGCCAACGCUCUGUCUCCAAUUACCUAGGCUGAGCAGGGAGGAGGAGGGAGGAGGUGUGUCUGUGAGGGGAAUACCAUUUGAUAUGUGGUGUGUCUGCAGUGGACUUCACUGGAGUUUAUAAGAUUCCCUCCCUCCCUCCCUCCCCCUACACCAUGGACAAAAGGGAGGAUUCAGUACAGAUUCCACAUUGCUUUUUAAGGGGAUUUGUUAUCGUCUAUUUUUAUUUCAGAGCCCUUUCCUAACGUAAAAUUUUAAAGUUCUGCUGGAUUUUGUGGUCACUGCAGCAACAUGAGCUGCCUUAGUAAGUUAUUCACAGUGACCUCCCCCCCACUUCCAUAAGUGGGUUCGGACCAGCUGCAUCUACAGAGGAGAGCACGAGACUACUGUACAAUAUAGCAUCCUCCAUUGCCCCCCUGCACACUGCCUAUGAGAACUUGCAUCUUGUUAAAGAGGUUCAAACCUACCUUUGAUUGGUUGGUACAGACACAUGGUCCCUUUCUCCAGACCAUUGUCUUGCUCUUCCUUCAUUAUCUGAACUUUUCCCUAUGCCAGAGGUGUCCAAACUUUUCUCAAAGGGGGCCAGAUUUGAUGAAGAGCCAAAGGGCCGACCCCAAGGCUGUUAACCUUUUUUUAGGAUUGAAGUUGUUGAGCUUUUUUUAUGAUUUUACCCAAAAGUUGUUUUUUUAGGAUUGGAGUUGUUGUUGAGGUUUUUUUAGGGUUUAAGUUGUUGAGGUUUUUUUAGGAUUUUACCCCAGGAAAGGGGCCGGAUUGAACCGACCAGCGGUUCAGAUUAAGUCCCCAAAACAGACUUUCAACUUGCCUGCCCUAUACACUUAAGAGUGUAUCUUCUUGAGGCACCAUCUUCCUUUAAACUAGAGAGCUCACAUGCCUUACUUUACAGAGGGCAGACCUCAACUGUUCAAUCCAGGUCCACUUUAAGGAUAAAGAACCAUGAGAAGGGAGAGGAGGGACCUUCAGGUUGACCAUAAAUACUGAGCCCUUGCACAGCAGCCUGAGCAGUCCCACAGACCACCUGGUCAGAUUCUUUCUUUACAUGGUUAGAUAUAUUGCAUUCCUAU